GAUGAACGCUGGCGGCGUGCCUAAUACAUGCAAGUAGAACGCUGAAGGAAGGAGCUUGCUCUUUCCGGAUGAGUUGCGAACGGGUGAGUAACGCGUAGGUAACCUGCCUGGUAGCGGGGGAUAACUAUUGGAAACGAUAGCUAAUACCGCAUAACAGUAGAUGUUGCAUGAUAUCUACUUAAAAGGUGCAAUUGCACCACUACCAGAUGGACCUGCGUUGUAUUAGCUAGUUGGUGAGGUAACGGCUCACCAAGGCGACGAUACAUAGCCGACCUGAGAGGGUGAUCGGCCACACUGGGACUGAGACACGGCCCAGACUCCUACGGGAGGCAGCAGUAGGGAAUCUUCGGCAAUGGACGGAAGUCUGACCGAGCAACGCCGCGUGAGUGAAGAAGGUUUUCGGAUCGUAAAGCUCUGUUGUAAGAGAAGAACGAGCGUGAGAGUGGAAAGUUCACACUGUGACGGUAUCUUACCAGAAAGGGACGGCUAACUACGUG
rnacentral:rRNA from 1 species